rnacentral:rRNA from 1 species
AGUCGAGGGGCAUCAGCUUAUAGCAAUAUAGGGCUGGCGACCGGCAAACGGGUGCGGAACACGUACACAACCUUCCUUUAAGAGGGGGAUAGCCCAUAGAAAUGUGGACUAAUACCCCGUAAGAUAGUGGGAUGGCAUCAUACUACUAUUAUAGUUACGACGCUUGAAGAUGGGUGUGCGUCUGAUUAGGUAGUUGGCGGGGUAAAGGCCCACCAAGCCUUCGAUCAGUAGCUGAUGUGAGAGCAUGAUCAGCCACACGGGCACUGAGACACGGGCCCGACUCCUACGGGAGGCAGCAGUAAGGAAUAUUGGUCAAUGGACGCAAGUCUGAACCAGCCAUGCCGCGUGAAGGAUGAAGGUCCUCUGGAUUGUAAACUUCUUUUAUAGGGGGCGAAAAAAGGGAAAUCUUUCUCACUUGACAGUACCCUAUGAAUAAGCACCGGCUAACUCCGUGCCAGCAGCCGCGGUAAUACGGAGGGUGCAAGCGUUAUCCGGAUUCACUGGGUUUAAAGGGUGCGUAGGCGGGCGUAUAAGUCAGUGGUGAAAUUCUGGAGCUUAACUCCAGAACUGCCAUUGAUACUAUAUGUCUUGAAUAUGGUGGAGGUAAGCGGAAUAUGUCAUGUAGCGGUGAAAUGCAUAGAUAUGACAUAGAACACCUAUUGCGAAGGCAGCUUACUACGCCUAUAUUGACGCUGAGGCACGAAAGCGUGGGGAUCAAACAGGAUUAGAUACCCUGGUAAUCCACGCCCUAAACGAUGAUUACUCGACGUGUGCGAUAAACGGUACGCGUCUGAGCGAAAGCAUUAAGUAAUCCACCUGGGAAGUACGACCGCAAGGUUGAAACUCAAAGGAAUUGGCGNNNNNNNNNNNNNGCGGUGNNNNNNNUGGUUUAAUUCG